UUUUUUUUUUCCUGCUGUUGUGAUUUUUUCCUGAGGCCCUGGUUGCCUCACCCUUGUAGGCUAAUUCAUCAUUUCAAUGAAUGAAAUAGGUAGCGUGCUACCUAUUUUAAAAAAACUAGGAUUCGCACUUAGGACCUCGAGUACUAACCAUCAAGCCCUUUGUCACUUGCUCUAGGGACGGUCUGUGAUCUAAUUCAUUGUUGACUUUGAAUUAGGAGAGCCUAUCUAUAAAAAAUUCAACAAAUUUCGAUUCUUUUACACCGUUAAACUAGCAAGUAUCUCAUACCGGCCGUUAAAAAUUGUCAAAUUUGUGACGUCUUGAUAGUAAGGUAAAUGAUGUCAAAAAAUUAUAAAAUUUGAUUUCUAGAAGUUUUAAAUGCUGUAAAUAACGUUUAACGGUGUGGAUCGUCGAUUCGGAAGCUCUAUCAUCAAAAACAACUUAUGAGUAC
rnacentral:lncRNA from 1 species